CAGUCGCCACGGGAAAACGGAGGGUGCAAGCGUUAAUCGGAAUUACUGGGCGUAAAGCGUGCGUAGGCGGUUCGUUAAGUCUGUUGUGAAAGCCCCGGGCUCAACCUGGGAAUGGCAAUGGAUACUGGCGAGCUAGAGUGUGUCAGAGGAUGGUGGAAUUCCCGGUGUAGCGGUGAAAUGCGUAGAGAUCGGGAGGAACAUCAGUGGCGAAGGCGGCCAUCUGGGACAACACUGACGCUGAGGCACGAAAGCGUGGGGAGCAAACAGGAUUAGAUACCCGAGUAGUCCCUGUCUCUUAUAA
rnacentral:rRNA from 1 species